rnacentral:siRNA from 1 species
UCAAUAUAUUAUGAGACAUAUGGU